rnacentral:rRNA from 1 species
UACGUAGGGUGCGAGCGUUGUCCGGAAUUAUUGGGCGUAAAGGGCUCGUAGGCGGUUUGUUGCGUCGGGAGUGAAAACACCGGGCUUAACUCGGUGCUUGCUUUCGAUACGGGCAGACUAGAGGCAUGCAGGGGAGAACGGAAUUCCUGGUGUAGCGGUGAAAUGCGCAGAUAUCAGGAGGAACACCGGUGGCGAAGGCGGUUCUCUGGGCAUGGCCUGACGCUGAGGAGCGAAAGUGUGGGGAGCGAACAGG